rnacentral:rRNA from 1 species
UUAUUUGAGAGUUUGAUCCUGGCUCAGGAUGAACGCUGGCGGCGUGCCUAACACAUGCAAGUUGAGCGAUUUACUUCGGUAAAGAGCGGCGGACGGGUGAGUAACGCGUGGGUAACCUACCCUGUACACACGGAUAACAUACCGAAAGGUAUGCUAAUACGGGAUAAUAUAUUUGAGAGGCAUCUCUUGAAUAUCAAAGGUGAGCCGGUACAGGAUGGACCCGCGUCUGAUUAGCUAGUUGGUAAGGUAACGGCUUACCAAGGCGACGAUCAGUAGCCGACCUGAGAGGGUGAUCGGCCACAUUGGAACUGAGACACGGUCCAAACUCC